rnacentral:rRNA from 1 species
ACGAACGCUGGCGGCGUGCUUAACACAUGCAAGUCGAACGGAAAGGCCUCAGCUUGCUGGGGUACUCGAGUGGCGAACGGGUGAGUAACACGUGGGUGAUCUGCCUUGCACUCUGGGAUAAGCUUGGGAAACUGGGUCUAAUACCGGAUAUGAACUGCCUUUAGUGUGGUGGUUGGAAAGUUUUUUCGGUGCAAGAUGAGCUCGCGGCCUAUCAGCUUGUUGGUGGGGUAAUGGCCUACCAAGGCGUCGACGGGUAGCCGGCCUGAGAGGGUGUACGGCCACAUUGGGACUGAGAUACGGCCCAGACUCCUACGGGAGGCAGCAGUGGGGAAUAUUGCACAAUGGGCGGAAGCCUGAUGCAGCGACGCCGCGUGGGGGAGGACGGCCUUCGGGUUGUAAACUCCUUUCGACAGGGACGAAGCUUUUUGUGACGGUACCUGUAUAAGAAGCACCGGCUAACUACGUG